AAAAAAAACCUUCUCUAUUCUAGAGAUGGGAUGUGCCAGGGAAGGAAUGUGAGGCGGGUCUGCAGAGCUCCAAUUUACCUUCAGGAAACUGAGGACCAGCAAUGCUGAAUAAGUCAUCCAGAGAUACAAUGUUGAGCUUGGAAAAGGAGUUUAUGGGAAGAAAAGAGAGAAACUGCUUGAAGAGAACAGGGAUGCCCUUUGUUCACCUGGCUGGUUCCUAGCUUUAAAAUUCCCUCUGCACAUGGAAAAGAGAUGGAACACUGAUGACUGGACCUAUGUAAGGCUUCCGCUGCCAACAACACAGUUUGGUUGAACACCCUCUGGUGGUGUUAUUUUAGCACUUUUCACAAAUGCUAAUGAACACUCACUUGGUCAGAGCAGACAAACACAAUCUGCUGGUUUUGUUUGGGCAUGACUCACACUGGCUAAUGAACAGUGACUCACUCGGCUCUGCAGAGAGCAGAGCUGAGCCCAGUCUCAGGAGUGAAAGACACUAGCACUGCAGGCAAGCAAUGUCCCCAGAACCAGGAUUAGAAAUGGUGCCUGGGGUCAGGCGUGGUGGCUGAUGCCUGCAAUCCCAGAGUUUUAAGAGAAUCACUUGAGGCCAGGAGUUUAACACCAGCCUGGCCAACAUGGUGAAACCCCAUCUCUACUAAAAAUACAAAAAAGAAAAAGCCAGGUGUGGUGGUGCACACCUGUACUUUUCAGCUACUUGGGAGGCUGAGGCAGGAGAAUUGCUUGAACCUAGGAGGAGGAGGUUGCAGUGAGCAGAGAUUGCACUACUGCACUCCAGCCUGGGCAACAGAGCAAGACUCUGUUUAAAAAAAAAAAAAAAAAAGAGGGAGGGAGGGUAGGUGGGUGGGUGCCUGGGAAGUCGCUGAUAGAGCUGUGACUUCCCACUUGAAAUCAUAGAUGAUAUACCCCAGAGAAGAAAUCAUUCUUUCAUAAGGCAUGGGGGAAGAAUGUGAAAAAAGGCAGUUAGUAUCUCAAUAUUUCAGACAGGCAUGGAGAAGAGAAACAAAUCUUCAGAUUGCAUGCCAACACUGAUGUAUUGAUGGGGUUAGCCUGGAGCGCUGGGUUGAAAAGGAUUCGAAGAUUUGGUAUGGGGGCUGGUCAGCAGUGCCUCCUGGGGUGGGUAAUAGAGAGGGCACCAGCAUGAAUGAUGGGUACUGGCCACUCUGCCAUUUCUGAGGGCUAAUGAAGCCCCUCUCCAUAGCCACUGGGCUCCCUGCACCCAGUUCUCAAGUCCAAUACC